rnacentral:rRNA from 1 species
GACGAACGCUGGCGGCGUGCUUAACACAUGCAAGUCGAACGAUGAUGCCCAGCUUGCUGGGCGGAUUAGUGGCGAACGGGUGAGUAACACGUGAGUAACCUGCCCCUGACUCUGGGAUAAGCGUUGGAAACGACGUCUAAUACUGGAUAUGACUGCCGGCCGCAUGGUCUGGUGGUGGAAAGAUUUUUUGGUUGGGGAUGGACUCGCGGCCUAUCAGCUUGUUGGUGAGGUAAUGGCUCACCAAGGCGACGACGGGUAGCCGGCCUGAGAGGGUGACCGGCCACACUGGGACUGAGACACGGCCCAGACUCCUACGGGAGGCAGCAGUGGGGAAUAUUGCACAAUGGGCGAAAGCCUGAUGCAGCAACGCCGCGUGAGGGAUGACGGCCUUCGGGUUGUAAACCUCUUUUAGUAGGGAAGAAGCGUAAGUGACGGUACCUGCAGAAAAAGCACCGGCUAACUACGUGCCAGCCGCCGCAGUAACAC